ACUGGGCGUAAAGCGCACGCAGGCGGUUUGUUAAGUCAGAUGUGAAAUCCCCGGGCUCAACCUGGGAACUGCAUCUGAUACUGGCAAGCUUGAGUCUCGUAGAGGGGGGUAGAAUUCCAGGUGUAGCGGUGAAAUGCGUAGAGAUCUGGAGGAAUACCGGUGGCGAAGGCGGCCCCCUGGACGAAGACUGACGCUCAGGUGCGAAAGCGUGGGGAGCAAACAGGAUUAGAUA
rnacentral:rRNA from 1 species